AACGUAGGAGACAAACGUUAUCCGGAGUUACUGGGCGUAAAGGGCGUGUAGGUGGUUUCGUAAGUCUGGCGUGAAAUAUCUCGGCUUAACCGAGGCAGGUCGUCGGAUACUGCGGAACUAGAGGACGGUAGAGGCGUGUGGAAUUCCGGGUGUAGUGGUGAAAUGCGUAGAGAUCCGGAGGAACACCGGUGGCGAAGGCGGCAUCCUGGACCGGCAUUGACGCUGAGGAGCGAAAGCCAGGGGAGCAAACGGG
rnacentral:rRNA from 1 species